rnacentral:rRNA from 1 species
UACGGAGGGUGCAAGCGUUGUCCGGAUUUAUUGGGUGUAAAGGGUGCGUAGGCGGCCCGUUAAGUCAGUGGUGAAAGCCUCCAGCUCAACUGGAGAACUGCCAUUGAUACUGACGGGCUUGAGUACAGACGAGGUUGGCGGAAUUGAUUGUGUAGCGGUGAAAUGCGUAGAUACAAUCAAGAACUCCGAUUGCGUAGGCAGCUAACUAGGCUGUAACUGACGCUGAGGCACGAAAGCGUGGGGAGCGAACAGG